rnacentral:rRNA from 1 species
ACCUUACCAACCCUUGACAUACUUGUCGCGGAUUCCAGAGAUGNAUUCCUUCAGUUCGGCUNGGACAAUGNACAGGUGCUGCAUGGCUGUCGUCAGCUCGUGUCGUGAGAUGUUCGGUUAAGUCCGGCAACGAGCGCAACCCACGUCCUUAGUUACCAGCAUUUAGUUGGGUACCCUAAGGAGACUGCCGGUGAUAAGCCGGAGGAAGNNGUNGACGACGUCAAGUCAUCAUGGCCCUUACGGGUUGGGCUACACACGUGCUACAAUGGCAUCUACAGUGAGUUAAUCUCCAAAAGAUGUCUCAGUUCGGAUUGGGGUCUGCAACUCGACCCCAUGAAGUUGGAAUCGCUAGUAAUCGCGGAACAGCAUGCCGCGGUGAAUACGUUCCCGGGCCUUGUACACACCGCCCGUCACACCAUNGGAAUUGGGUCUACCCGAAGGUGGUGCGCCAACUAUU